rnacentral:rRNA from 1 species
UACGUAGGGGGCAAGCGUUGUCCGGAUUCAUUGGGCGUAAAGAGCGUGUAGGCGGCCAGGUAGGUCGGUUGUGAAAACUGGAGGCUCAACCUUCAGAGGUCGACCGAAACCAUCUGGCUAGAGUCCGGGAGAGGAGAGUGGAAUUUCCGGUGUAGCGGUGAAAUGCGUAGAUAUCGGAAGGAACAUCAGUGGCGAAAGCGGCUUCCUGGACCAGAACUGACGAUCAGGCUCGAAAGCGUGGGGAGCAAACAGG